UGUGGGAAGGCAUAGACAGCCAGGAUGUUGGCUUAGAAGCAGCCAUCAUUUAAAGAAAGCGUAAUAGCUCACUGGUCGAGUCGGCCUGCGCGGAAGAUGUAACGGGGCUAAACCAUGCACCGAAGCUGCGGCAGCGACGCUUAGGCGUUGUUGGGUAGGGGAGCGUUCUGUAAGCCGUUGAAGGUGGCCUGUGAGGGCUGCUGGAGGUAUCAGAAGUGCGAAUGCUGACAUAAGUAACGAUAAUGCGGGUGAAAAACCCGCACGCCGGAAGACCAAGGGUUCCUGUCCAACGUUAAUCGGGGCAGGGUGAGUCGACCCCUAAGGCGAGGCUGAAAAGCGUAGUCGAUGGGAAACAGGUUAAUAUUCCUGUACUGGGUGUGACUGCGAAGGGGGGACGGAGAAGGCUAGGCUAGCCGGGCGACGGUUGUCCCGGUUUAAGCAUGUAGGCGGAGCGACUUGGUAAAUCCGGUUGCUUAUCAACGCUGAGGUGUGAUGACGAGCCACUACGGUGGUGAAGUAGUUGAUGCCAAGCUUCCAGGAAAAGCCUCUAAGCAUCAGGUGACAUUCAAUCGUACCCCAAACCGACACAGGUGGUCAGGUAGAGAAUACUCAGGCGCUUGAGAGAACUCGGGUGAAGGAACUAGGCAAAAUGGUGCCGUAACUUCGGGAGAAGGCACGCUGGCAUUAGGUAAAGAGACUUGCUCUCGGCGCCGAAGCCAGUCGCAGAUACCAGCUGGCUGCAACUGUUUAAUAAAAACACAGCACUGUGCAAACACGAAAGUGGACGUAUACGGUGUGACGCCUGCCCGGUGCUGGAAGGUUAAUUGAUGGGGUCAGCCGCAAGGCGAAGCUCUUGAUCGAAGCCCCAGUAAACGGCGGCCGUAACUAUAACGGUCCUAAGGUAGCGAAAUUCCUUGUCGGGUAAGUUCCGACCUGCACGAAUGGCG
rnacentral:rRNA from 1 species